rnacentral:rRNA from 1 species
UAAAGCUACUAAGAGCUAAUGGAGAAUGCCUUGGUACUGACAGCCGACGAAGGACGUGUAAAGCUGCGAUAAGCUUCGGGGAGUUGCUAAAAGACCUUGAUCCGAAGAAUUCCGAAUGGGGAAACCCUGCAAGGUUAAAACCUUGUAACCCGUAACUGAAUACAUAGGUUGCGUGGAGGAAAGCCUGUGAACUGAAACAUCUUAGUAACAGGACGAAAAGAAAAUAACCGAAUGAUUCCGAAAGUAGCGGCGAGCGAAAUCGGAAGAGCCUAAACAUUAUGUACGUGAUAGACUGCAAUCGUUGUGCAUAUUGGGUUGUGGGACUUACCGUAUAAUUUGCAGAUUAUACAAAGAGUUACAAAAUUAUUUAUUAGCUAAAUACAACUGGGAAGUUGAGCCAUAGCGGGUGAUAGCCCCUUAAGCGACAAUAAAUGAUCUCUUGUAAGUAUCCCGAGUAAGGCGGGGCACGUGAAACCCUGUCUGAAUCCACCGGGACCAUCCGGUAAGGCUAAAUACUAGUCAGUGACCGAUAGUGAACGAGUACAGUGAUGGAAAGGCGAAAAGAACAGUGAGAAGCUGAGUGAAAUAGACCCUGAAACCGUUAGCUUACAAUCAGUCAGAGCACUAUUAAUAGUGUGAUGGCGUGCCUGUUGAAGAAUGAGCCGGCGAGUUAUCUUAUGUUGCAAGGUUAAGGAGUUGAUAUCCGGAGCCAUAGCGAAAGCGAGUUUGAAAAGAGCGUUAAGUAACAUGCGAUAGACCCGAACCUUGGUGAUCUAACCUUGACCAGGAUGAAGCGUGGGUAACACUACGUGGAGGUCCGAACCGACUGAUGUUGAAAAAUCAGCGGAUGAGUUGAGGUUAGGGGUGAAAUGCCAAUCGAACCAAGAGCUAGCUGGUUCUCCCCGAAAUGCGUUUAGGCACAGCGUCAGAUUUAUCUUACAGGAGGUAGAGCACUGGUUUUGUGCGGGCGGCGAAAUGCUGUACCAAACAAUGUCAAACUCCGAAUGCCUGUAAUGUUAUUGUCUGGCAGUGAGGCUAUGAGUGAUAAGAUCCAUGGCCAAGAGGGAAACAGCCCAGAACGCCAGUUAAGGUCCCUAAUAUAUGCUAAGUGGUUAAGGAGGUAGAGUUGCUGAGACAACCAGGAGGUUGGCUCAGAAGCAGCCAUCCAUUGAAAGAGUGCGUAAUAGCUCACUGGUCAAGCGACUCCGCGCCGAAAAUACACCGGGACUCAAGCAUAUAACCGAAACUGCGUCAUAUAGUUUACUAUAUGGGUAGGGGAGCGUUCUGUUGUAGGAUGAAGUAAGAUCGAAAGGACUUAUGGACGAAGCAGAAGUGAGAAUGUCGGCAUAAGUAGCGAAAACAUUGGUGAGAAUCCAAUGCACCGUAAACCUAAGGUUUCCCCUGGCAGGCUCGUCCGCGGGGGGUUAGUCGGAACCUAAGCUGAGGCCGAAAGGCGUAGGCGAUGGACAUCAGGUUGAUAUUCCUGAACUAUCAGGUAAUCGUUAUCAGAUGCGGAGGGACGCAGGAGGAUAGGCACGCAGCCGAUUGGAAGAGGCUGUUUAAGCGUGUAGCUAGUUUGAGUAGGAAAAUCCGCUCAGGCGUUAUGACGUGAGGCGUAAUGAGGAGAGUCUACGGACUCGAAGGUGUUGACUCCACACUGCCAAGAAAAACUUCGCACUCGAGAUUAUCCGGUAUCCGUACCGUAAACCGCCACAGGUAGGUUAGUAGAACAUACUAAGGUGCGCGAGACAACUCUCGCUAAGGAACUCGGCAAAAUCACCUCGUAACUUCGGGAGAAGAGGUACCCUGGUAGAGUGAAGCGAUUUACUCGUGGAGCUUGAUAGGGUCGCAGUGAAUUGGCCCAUGCGACUGUUUACCAAAAACACAGGUCUCUGCUAAGUCGAACAAGACGAUGUAUAGGGGCUGACGCCUGCCCGGUGUCGGAAGGUUACGUGGAAGGGUUAGAGGUAACUCGAAGCUCUGAAACUAAGCCCCGAUGAACGGCGGCCGUAACUAUAACGGUCCUAAGGUAGCGAAAUUCCUUGUCAGGU